GUCACCUGGAUGCAGAGGCAGGUGCCUGUAGUCCCAGCUACUUCGGAGACUGAAGCAAGAGGAUUUCUUGAGUCCAGGAGUUCAGGGCUGUAGUGCCAUGUGCUGAUCAGGUGUCCUCACUAAGUUCAGCCUCAAUAUGGUGACCUUCCUGGAUUGGGGCAGCUACCAGGCUGCCUCAGGACAGGUGAACCAGCACAGGUCAAAACAGAGCAGGUCAAAACUCCAGUGCUGAUGAGUAGUGGGAUCAAGCCUGUGAAUAGACACUACACUCCAGCCUGGGCAACACAGUGAGACUGUAUGU
ensembl:misc_RNA Metazoa_SRP Metazoan signal recognition particle RNA